UAAUGAAAGAAACCAAAGCCUGUCCGUUACAAAACUCGAUUCCAGAGAAGAAGUUUCUAGAAAGAAACAAUCGAAGAAAACAAAUUUCAAAUUGAUUAGCAACGCAGAAAUAACAAAUCAUUACAAGAAAAGUAGUCGUUAAAGACAGUUCUUUUUCGAAAAAUGGAUACAAAAGAGCAUACUUCCAUGAAUGCGGCUAUGUUGGUAAAAGUAUUCCUUUUCGAAAAUCUAGAAGAACUUAGCGAAAUAGAAAGUUCAAAUUAUUUUAACUCUCUAUGGAGAGAGAUGUCCUGCGGCCAACUAAACGCAGUUUCUGAAAUAGGAAGAAGCGGCUACCUAUGCCAAAGCUGCUUUGAGUCACACUCUAAACCCGAAUUUCUUCUACAAGAAGUCUCCCUUCAUCUGACCUUUCUCAAAGAAAAAGCGCUAUGUCGCUCAUGCAAACAAAG